GUUUUCUUUCAAUGAAGAGAGCUAUCCGUCGACAGUGUUGCCAUAGAAAACUGUCAUGGAGUUGCUCUCUUUAUGGAUUGGAGA
rfam:Strigamia maritima strain Brora ctg7180001223202, whole genome shotgun sequence.